UACAGAGGUCUCAAGCGUUGUUCGGAUUCAUUGGGCGUAAAGGGUGCGUAGGUGGCGCGGUAAGUCGGGUGUGAAAUCUCGGAGCUUAACUCCGAAAUUGCAUUCGAUACUGCCGUGCUUGAGGACUGGAGAGGAGACUGGAAUUUACGGUGUAGCAGUGAAAUGCGUAGAGAUCGUAAGGAAGACCAGUGGCGAAGGCGGGUCUCUGGACAGUUCCUGACACUGAGGCACGAAGGCCAGGGGAGCAGACGGG
rnacentral:rRNA from 1 species